CACAGUGUAGCUUAUUACAAAGCAUCUGGCCUACACCCAGAAGAAUUCAUCACAAAUGAACACUUUGA
rnacentral:tRNA from 1 species